rnacentral:misc_RNA from 1 species
GAUGAAGAACGUAGCGAAAUGCGAUAAGUAAUGUGAAUUGCAGAAUUCAGUGAAUCAUCGAAUUUUUGAACGCACAUUGCGCCCGCUAGUAUUCUGGCGGGCAUGCCUGUCCGAGCGUCAUUUCAACCCUCAAGCCCCCGGGCUUGGUGUUGGGGAUCGGCGAGCCUCCGCGCCCGCCGUCCCCUAAAUCUAGUGGCGGUCUCGCUGUAGCUUCCUCUGCGUAGUAGCACACCUUGCACUGGGAAACAGCGCGGCCACGCCGUUAAACCCCCAACUUCUGAACGUUUGACCUCGGAUCAGGUAGGAAUACCCGCUGAACUUAAGCAUAUCAAUAAGCGGAGGA